ACUACGGGAGGCAGCAGUGGGGAAUAUUGGGCAAUGGGCGCAAGCCUGACCCAGCAAUGCCGCGUGAAGGAAGAAUGCUUUCGGGUUGUAAACUUCUUUGACAGGGGAAGAGCAGAAGACGGUACCCUGACAACAAGCCACGGCAAACUACGUGCCAUAAGCGCCGGUAAUACGUAGGUUGCAAGCGUUGUCCGGAUUUACGGGGUGUAAAUGGCUUCUAGCCGGGAAGGCAAGUCAGAUGUGAAAUCUGGAGGCUCAACCUCCAAAUUGCAUUUGAAACUGUUGUGCUUGAGUACUGGAGAGGCAGACGGAAUUCCUUGUGUAGCGGUGAAAUGCGUAGAUAUAAGGAGGAACACCAGUGGCGAAGGCGGUCUGCUGGACAGCAACUGACGGUGAGGCGCGAAAGCGUGGGGAGCAAACAGGAUUAGAUACCCUGGUAGUC
rnacentral:rRNA from 1 species